GAUGAACGCUGGCGGCGUGCUUAACACAUGCAAGUCGAGCGGACGGACGAGAAGCUUGCUUCGUUCAUGUUAGGGGCGGACGGGUGAGUAACACGUGGAUAACCUACCUAUAAGACUGGGAUAACUUCGGGAAACGGUAGCUAAUACCGGAUAAUAUAUUGAACCGCGUGGUUCGAUAGUGAAAGACGGUCUUGCUGUCACUUAUAGCUGGUUCCGCGCUGCAUUGGCUAGUUGGUCAGGUAACCGCUUACCAAGGCAACGAUGCAUAGCCGACCUGUGCGAGUGGUCGGCCCCGCCAGAGGGGGGACACGGACACAAGUGCUGAGAGAGGCAGCAGUCGCGAAUCGGCCGCAAAGGGGGAGAGCCUGACGGACCAGCGGCGCGUGAGUGAUGAAGGACUUCGGAUCGUAAUACUCUGUUAUUAGGGGAGAACAGAUGUGUAAGUAGCCGUGCAGAACUUGACGGUACCUGCUCAGAAAGCAACGGCUAACUACGUG
rnacentral:rRNA from 1 species